CUAGCGUUCGAAUGAUCAAUAACAAAAUUCAGUGAAUCAUCGAAUCUUUGAACGCACCUUGCGCCCUCUGGUAUUCCGGAGGGCAUGCCUGUUUGAGUGUCAUUA
rnacentral:rRNA from 1 species